rnacentral:lncRNA from 1 species
CCAGCUGCUUCGAAGUCAUCAGGCUCAGUCUGGGGUUCAGCCUUUAGCUUUCUCCUCGGAACUCUAAGGGGACUGACCUACACGCUGCUCAGGGACUUGUGCAAACAGCUUGCAGUGUAUCGAAACGUGCACGAACCCGGGAAGACAUCGGAUGCUAACGACUGGUGAACUAAACCAGGCAGUUUGAAUGAGACGAGGGACGAGACAAACAUGCAAAAGACUCCAGGGGAAACCGAAGCUUCGAUGGUUUUCUGGU